GGUGAGACAGGAAUUAACUAAUUUGAAUUACUCAAUACCCUGAGGACAAUUUAUUUUGUCUUACAGAAGAAGCCCUUGAGAGGAGAGUGAUAUAGAACAUUUAAAAACAAUGACAAAAACUUGUUUAGUAAAUCUCUACAAAUUGAGUACAUAUUUAGGAAUAUGUAAUCUGUAGCUUUUAAAAGUUAUUCUUUCUUAUUUUAUAUUAAAACUGGUUUUGGCAUUGUGUUGCUAAGAAAGUAGACCAUGCCAGGUGGCCU
rnacentral:lncRNA from 1 species